UUUCAAAAUCAGAAACGAAGCAAGAAGAACUUUUCUGAGGCUUAAGUGUUGAAGUUCAGUUGUGAUUGUCAUGCCCUAGGAUAUGCUAAUGGAUUGAUGGAGAAGAACGUCUGGAUUCAGAUACAGAAAGUAACAUGGUAGACAUGUACAUAUUUAAAGCAAGUGGAAACCUUUAAAAGAACGAACAACUAAACUAAGAAUUAUGUACACAUCAUAGGAUAUUGACGUCAAUGGAAACAAAAUGUUUGUACUAGUUGAUCGCAGGAAUAUUGAUGAAAAAGUUAAAAGGUAUG